rnacentral:lncRNA from 1 species
AGAUCACACACUCCCGAACAAAUUUAUUGUAUUCCCUUUUUUUCCUUCAUAUAACACGUUUUGAACCAAAAGAAAUUUAUAAGAAAAAGGGGCUAUUGGAUAAGAGAGCAAGAGUCAUCUGUACAUGGUAAGGUUAACCAGAAGAGGACCAUAAGCUCUUCAGUCAAAUUUGAUCUAUAGAUUAACGAAAAUGAACGACAACAGCCAGCAACCAAGAUAAGAUCAAAGAAAUAGCAGAUUUACAAUGGAGAUAGUAACUUUGCGAUAUUAAUUUCCAAGCUCAAGGAACCCAAAAGUAUUUUCGCCACUGUAUGUCAUGUAGAGAAAUCCAUCCUCAUCCUUAUUUUCCUCAUAUAUUGCAGACAACAGAGCAGCUGCAACGAAAGAAGAUGCAAUUAUACAACUAUCAGAAUAAGUAAAAGACCUACAUAAUCUCUCUUCUUACCCGUGGGAGGCAAAGUGUUGUUGACAAAGACAAAUAUGGCCUUCUCAGCACUGAGCUUGAUCCUCUUCCGAACCACAUAAACAAACUGGCCGACAGUCAAAUCAGCUGGAACAAGGUAUCUGCAUCACAAGGUAAGACANNNNNNNNNNNNNNNNNNNNNNNNNUUUUUUCCCUUCAUAUAACCACGUUUGAACCAAAAGAAAUUAUAAGAAAAAGGGGCUAUUGGAUAAGAGAGCAAGAGUCAUCUGUACAUGGUAAGGUUAACCAGAAGAGGACCAUAAGCUCUUCAGUCAAAUUUGAUCUAUAGAUUAACGAAAAUGAACGACAACAGCCAGCAACCAAGAUAAGAUCAAAGAAAUAGCAGAUUUACAAUGGAGAUAGUAACUUUGCGAUAUUAAUUUCCAAGCUCAAGGAACCCAAAAGUAUUUUCGCCACUGUAUGUCAUGUAGAGAAAUCCAUCCUCAUCCUUAUUUUCCUCAUAUAUUG